UUUAUAUAUUAAUGGUGAUUAUUUAAAAAUGAUUUUAAUUGUUUUAAAAAUCAUUUAAGGGUAAAAUAAAUGUUUUAAAAAUAGUUUGAGUUAUUAUAAAUAACUUUUAUAUUUUGGCAAUGAUUUCAUUAAUAAUUUAAUAUUAAUUAAUUAUUAAUGAUAAUAGAAUUGUUUGAUGUUUAAGUCAUAUAAUUAUAAUUCCGAUGUUUGAAAGUGAUAUCCGGUCAAACUAGCUGACUAGAGAACCGGUUAUGAAGUCCAGGAUUUAGUGAAGAGCAC
rnacentral:lncRNA from 1 species